UGGAGGGGAGAUCAAAGCAGGAAAGGGAGCAAAGUUCUCUGGGCAGGGAGGUCUGGGAAAGACCCUGACUAACCAGCAAAGUGCGUAGGAGACUUAGAGGGGAACUUGAGAAGAGAGGUGGGAAGUGGCUCAAGGAAAACUACAGCAAAGACAAAGGUGCAGACCUAGCUGUUUGGUACAGGGCCUAGGCUGGAACCUAGAGUCAAGGAUAGGACUGGGUUCCCUUACUGGCCCCUAGGAAGGGGCCUACAAACCCCUAGAAAGGCUUGUUGAGGCCAGCAAGGGGGCUGCAGGCUGAACUGAGGAUAGACUAAGGAAGAGCCCCAGACAGGGUAGAAGGCCUUCUUUCUGCUAAAGAAACUUUUAGUUUGGGCCAAUGGCAUCCCCAAAGUAGUAGACUAAAGCUGAUGACCCGGACAGAGGGCUGAGUCAUCAGGCAGAGAAAUCAGUGUAGCACUGAAGUGAUCAUCGGUGGGUGACACUAGCCCAGUGAGAGAACUGCAAUGCCCUGGGGGGUUCGUGGCGUCUCAGAGGAGAAGGUGGCAGGGAACUGUGCAGCCUGGAAAUAACCUGGUCAAGAGGGAAAGGGACGAGGGUCUCCACCCAAGAGAGAUGAUGACUGAGGAGCUGAGAGCCUAAGGAAAUAGUCACCGCAUCAUUCCUCAGAGGCCCUUCAGCAAGGAUAACUCUGAAACCAGAAGUUUUUGAUGACCACGAAGGCAUAUUCGGAGAACAAGACAUUAUGGUGUCAUUUUUGGAGGCUGAGCUUGGAAUUUCAUGGAGUUUUCAUCAUUUAAAAGGAUUUUUAUAUAACAGCAGUUUCUGCAGAGACCUGUCAGAAUGGGAAGUACCUUCAGAACAAGUUAGCACUGGAGUGAGAGGAGACAUUGCUUCUGACUAAAGUUGUGGAGGGACACAAAUGGCAAAGCAUGGAUGUCCCACUCUUGAUCUUAUUUUGAGACAGACACACACCCAGCCAGUCUUCUCCAUAACACCACUAGCAGAUCAUUUCAAGGGCACAGGAUGGCCUCUCCUGUAUACCUUAGUACCUUUCACGGGAAAAGGAAUUUCCUGGGGCAUGGACACAAGAUGAUCACCCAAGCUGCUAGUAUGUUGCACCUGUGGCACCUUUAUGGUUUGUAUUCCAUCUCUGAAAGUAGGAGAGCCUCCGGGAGAAAGUAGGAUUUGUUGGGAAAGGAUUUGGAUGAUGCUGUCCAGAUUUCAGACAUCUUCAUUCUCCUGAUGCUGUCUGUAGGGUUCUUCAUCUAAAUUCAGCUUCAUGAUUUUAUACUCUGGCUGAUGGUGUAAGAAGCAGGCAGAGCCCAGAGAGACUUUUCAAAUCCCAGCUGGAGUUUCCAGGACUAUGUGUUAGAAAAAUCAA